rnacentral:rRNA from 1 species
AUUGAACGCUGGCGGAAUGCUUUACACAUGCAAGUCGAACGGCAGCACGGACUUCGGUCUGGUGGCGAGUGGCGAACGGGUGAGUAAUGUAUCGGAACGUGCCCAGUCGUGGGGGAUAACGUAGUGAAAAUUACGCUAAUACCGCAUACGAUCUAUGGAUGAAAGCGGGGGAUCGCAAGACCUCGCGCGAUUGGAGCGGCCGAUAGAAGAUUGGGUAGUUGGUAGGGUAAAGCGCCACCAAGCCAAGGAUCUGUAGCGGGUCUGAGAGGACGACCAGCCACACUGGAACUGAGACACGGUCCAGACUCCUACGGGAGGCAGCAGUGGGGAAUUUUGGACAAUGGGCGAAAGCCUGAUCCAGCCAUUCCGCGUGCAGGAUGAAGGCCCUCGGGUUGUAAACUGCUUUUGUACAGAACGAAAAGGUUUCUACUAAUACUAGGAGCUCAUGACGGUACUGUAAGAAUAAGCACCGGCUAACUACGUGCCAGCCGCCGCAGUAA